UACGUAGGGGGGCAAGCGUUUGUCCGGAAUCAUUGGGGCGUAACGCGCGUGUAGGCGGCUAGGUAAGUCUGCUCUGAAAGCCCGGGGCUCAACCCCAGGAGGCGGGUGGAUACUGUCUAGCUCGAGUCCGGAAGAGGAGUGUGGAAUUCCUGGUGUAGCGGUGAAAUGCGCAGAUAUCAGGAGGAACACCAAUGGCGAAGGCAGCACUCUGGGACGUGACUGACGCUGAGACGCGAAAGCGUGGGGAGCAAACAGG
rnacentral:rRNA from 1 species